ensembl:lncRNA
UUCAGUGUUAGCAUUUUCUUCCACAACUUUUCUGUCUACAGGUCUUUGAAACAGGACGGAAUUUGUCUCUCACAACUUUUGACUUAAUAUUGAUGUUGUGACUUGGAAUGAGAACUCCAGGAGAGAGCAAGACAAGGUGUCUGGCCGUUAUUUGCUGGACAGCCUUUUUGGCCUGUGAGUCUCAGCUCUCGUAAGCCAUGUGGACGUGGGCUUGAUGCUAGCUUGUCAGGAAAGCUGAGACCUUCCUGCACCAUCUCAUCCCCUCAAAGAAAACUCAGGAGGAGGCACAGACUGUAAGAAGUAUUAAUUGAAUGUGAUAUCCUUCAUGGCUUCUCGACCUAGGAUUAUGCGUAGUUAAACAGCAGUGUUGUUUUGCCCUGGACUUGAAUGCAUUUUAAUUCUAGAUAAAAUGAGUCAUUCUACAUGGUGAUACAUAAAUAUUUGUAUUCUAUAGGUGUUAAUAAUACUGAAAUACUAAAACGCAGAGCUGUGUAAUUACAUGCACUUAUCCUGCACCAUUAAAUACUUGAUUUCUACUCAGUCUGAAACCUGCUAAGUCUCUGAAGAAUCCAUGAAUAUCCAGAGCACGAGCUAGGAAUGGAAAUGUAAUACUGCUGAAAAGGAGAG